UUUCCGUAGGUGAACCUACGGAAGGAUCAUUAUUGUAUAACCGAGGUGCGAGGGCUGUCGCUGACCCGAAAGGUCGUGCACGCCCGAGUGCCCUCACACACAUCCAUCUCACCCCUAUGUGCACCACCGCGUGGGUCCCCCUUUGGCUUGUUCGGAGGGGGGCUUACGCUUUCACACAAACUUUGUAUGCAGUGUAGAAUGUAUUUUUUGUUUUUGCGAUCACGCAAUCAAUACAACUUUCAACAACGGAUCUCUUGGCUCUC
rnacentral:misc_RNA from 1 species